rnacentral:rRNA from 1 species
GAUCCUGGCUCAGAUUGAACGCUGGCGGCAGGCCUAACACAUGCAAGUCGAAUGGUAACAGGAAGCAGCUUGCUGCUUCGCUGACGAGUGGCGGACGGGUGAGUAAUGUCUGGGAAACUGCCUGAUGGAGGGGGAUAACUACUGGAAACGGUAGCUAAUACCGCAUAACGUCGCAAGACCAAAGAGGGGGGACCUUCGGGCCUCCUUGCCAUCGGAUGUGCCCAGAUGGGAUUAGCUAGG